GUGCCAGCAGCCGCGGUAAUACAGAGGGUGCGAGCGUUAAUCGGAUUUACUGGGCGUAAAGCGUGCGUAGGCGGGCUUCUUAAGUCGGAUGUGAAAUCCCUGAGCUUAACUCUCAGGAAUUGCAUUCGAUACUGGGAAGCUAGAGUAUGGGAGAGGAUGGUAGAAUUCCAGGUGUAGCGGUGAAAAUGCGUAGAGAUCUGGAGGAAUACCGAUGGCGAAGGCAGCCAUCUGGCCUAAUACUGACGCUGAGGUACGAAAGCAUGGGGAGCAAACAGGAUUAGAUACCCUGGUAGUCC
rnacentral:rRNA from 1 species